CAGCUGACAAGUCACGUGGUACAUGGUACCGUCAUUUUUGGCAUAGAAAUUACAUUAUUUCUAAAGAAAGAGAUUUAGCUUGUUGAGCAAAUAAUUAAUUUUCAUUGAAUAUUUUUGAUCAACCAAUAAAAUAUACUUCAUAUUUAAAUCAAUAUUUUUAUUGGAAAAUCACUUUUCACAAAUAUGAAUAUGCGGUCGAAAACUGAAAGCCAUCAGAAUUCAAGAUGGUUCAGACAAAAACAAGUGCUAGCGCUAAGAAAAGACUAAAAAAACAAGAGAUGCAAGGUACAGGUGUAUUAAAAGGGAAAGGUUACUAGACAUUGGUAUUCAGUGUGAUCGAUGGAGAAGAGUUAAAGAAGCUACUGGGAUUUAAAAGGACGAGAAAAUGAUGGAAAUAUUGAUCGAUGCAACUACAGUCUACUUCUGAACUAGAGAGCUUCAACAAUCAUCUUUUGAUGUAUGCUCCAAAGCGAAAUGCUUUCAGCUAUGCUGUUUAUAGAUGCAGGUGUCAGUUAGCAGCAAUAGAUUAUUCAAAACACUUGAAUCGUCCUGUUUUGUUGGACCAAGAAGGAAAUUAGAGGUAUUUAUAUUAUUGUUUUUGCCCUGUAUGUUUGUUUGUUUGUUUG